rnacentral:rRNA from 1 species
UCCUACGGGGCGCAGCAGUGAGGAAUAUUGGUCAAUGGGCGCGAGCCUGAACCAGCCAAGUCGCGUGAGGGAAGACGGUCCUAUGGAUUGUAAACCUCUUUUGUCGGGGAGCAAAAGACGCCACGCGUGGCGUUCCGAGAGUACCCGAAGAAAAAGCAUCGGCUAACUCCGUGCCAGCAGCCGCGGUAAUACGGAGGAUGCGAGCGUUAUCCGGAUUUAUUGGGUUUAAAGGGUGCGCAGGCGGAAGAUCAAGUCGGCGGUAAAAUUGAGAGGCUCAACCUCUUCGGGCCGUUGAAACUGGUUUU